rnacentral:rRNA from 1 species
GGGGGGGGGGGGGGGGGGGGGGGGGGGGGGGGGGGGGGGGGGGGGGGGGGGGGGGGGGCUCCUCGGAGGUUGGCGGCGGGGGGGGGCGGGACACGUGGGUCACCUCUCGAUGAGGCUGGGCUACCUGCGGGGGACAGGAGCCACUGCCGGAUCAGAUAUUCAAACGCAUGGUUCAAUAGUUAAAGCAGGUUUUGCUUUCACGUAUACUUGGAUCCGCGCCGCUUUAGCUACUGGGUACGGUAACGGCUUACCAAGGCAACGAUGCUUAGCCGACCGGCGAGGGUGAUCGGCCACACUGGAACUGAGACACGGUCCAGACUCCGACGGGAGGCAGCAGUAGGGAAUCUUCCGCAAUGGGCGAAAGCCUGACGGAGCAACGCCGCGUGAGUGAUGAAGGUCUUCGGAUCGUAAAACUCUGUUAUUAGGGAAGAACAAAUGUGUAAGUAACUAUGCACGUCUUGACGGUACCUAAUCAGAAAGCCACGGCUAACUACGUG